rnacentral:rRNA from 1 species
UACGAGGGGUGCAAGCGUUACUCGGAAUUACUGGGCGUAAAGCGUGCGUAGGUGGUUUUUUAAGUCCGUUGUGAAAGCCCUGGGCUCAACCUGGGAAUGGCAGUGGAUACUGGAAAGCUAGAGUGCGGUAGAGGGUAGUGGAAUUCCCGGUGUAGCAGUGAAAUGCGUAGAGAUCGGGAGGAACACCAGUGGCGAAGGCGGCUACCUGGACCAGCACUGACACUGAGGCACGAAAGCGUGGGGAGCAAACAGG